GUUAAGGAUAAUAGGGAAUGCGCCGCUCAGGCUACUGGGAGAGGUUGGUGGCGAGCACCGGACAAACCUGCAUCCGCGCGCGAGCGAGCGUGACGCCGCAGCUCCGUUGCCAGCGAGCCGCGAUGGCAACUGGUAGGAGGAGCAGCGGACGAGCGACCAAGUCAGCGUAGGGUGAAGACUACCCAACUCGGCUAACGGCCGCGCCGUCGGCGUACAGCAGUUGAGCAGGGAGCGGUGACCGCACGCGCUCGUAGCAGCAAGUUGUCGUCGUCGUUGCACGGCCGAGCAGCAGACAAACGAUGACGACGAUACCGUUCUCCUUGCUGGCGGGCCGGCGGCGGGCACCGCUCGACCGACGACGGCGGCAAACGUUGCUGACACACUGCUACCGGUCAGGCAAGCUGCCGGUAGCGGCGUCUUUGCCGUUCGUCAACUAGCGGUUCGCCGCGUGGCUCCACCCGUACGUCUCCUCGAUGUU
rnacentral:misc_RNA from 1 species